rnacentral:rRNA from 1 species
AGAACGAACGCUGGCGGCAGGCUUAACACAUGCAAGUCGAACGCACCGCAAGGUGAGUGGCAGACGGGUGAGUAACGCGUGGGAAUCUACCUAGCUCUUCGGAAUAGCUCCGGGAAACUGGAAUUAAUACCGAGUACGCCCUACGGGGGAAAGAUUUAUCGGAGUUAGAUGAGCCCGCGUUGGAUUAGCUAGUUGGUGGGUAAUGGCCUACCAAGGCGACGAUCCAUAGCUGGUCUGAGAGGAUGAUCAGCCACACUGGGACUGAGACACGGCCCAGACUCCUACGGGAGGCAGCAGUGGGGAAUAUUGGACAAUGGGCGCAAAGCCUGGAAUCCAGCCAUGCCGCGUGAGUGAUGAAGGCCCUAGGUUGUAAAGCUCUUUCAAGUAGGGAAGAUAAUGACGGUACCUACGAGAAGAAGACCCCGGCUAACUUCGUGCCAGCAGCCGC